UUGGAUGCUUUGAUAGUUUGUGUC
rnacentral:siRNA from 1 species